GAUGAACGCUGGCGGCGUGCCUAAUACAUGCAAGUAGAACGCUGAAGGAGGAGCUUGCUCUUUCCGGAUGAGUUGCGAACGGGUGAGUAACGCGUAGGUAACCUGCCUGGUAGCGGGGGAUAACUAUUGGAAACGAUAGCUAAUACCGCAUAACAGUAGAUAUUGCAUGAUAUUUGCUUGAAAGGGGCAAUUGCUCCACUACCAGAUGGACCUGCGUUGUAUUAGCUAGUUGGUGAGGUAACGGCUCACCAAGGCGACGAUACAUAGCCGACCUGAGAGGGUGAUCGGCCACACUGGGACGGAGACACGGCCCAGACUCCUACGGGAGGCAGCAGUAGGGAAUCUUCGGCAAUGGACGGAAGUCUGACCGAGCAACGCCGCGUGAGUGAAGAAGGUUUUCGGAUCGUAAAGCUCUGUUGUAAGAGAAGAACGAGUGUGAGAGUGGAAAGUUCACACUGUGACGGUAUCUUACCAGAAAGGGACGGCUAACUACGUG
rnacentral:rRNA from 1 species